GACGAACGCUGGCGGCGUGCUUAACACAUGCAAGUCGAGCGGUAAGGCCCUUUCGGGGGUACGACGAGCGGCGAACGGGUGAGUAACACGUGGGUGACCUGCCCUCAGCUCUGGGAUAAGCCUGGGAAACGUAGGGUCGUAAUACCGGAUAUGACUCCAUGACGCAUGUUGUGGGGUGGAAAGCCUUGUGCGGCUGAGGAUGGGCCCGCGGCCUAUCAGCUUGUUGGUGGGGGAUGGCCUACCAAGGCGACGACGGGUAGCCGGCCUGAGAGGGCGACCGGCCACACUGGGACUGAGACACGGCCCAGACUCCUACGGGAGGCAGCAGUGGGGAAUCUUGCGCAAUGGGCGAAAGCCUGACGCAGCGACGCCGCGUGAGGGAUGACGGCCU
rnacentral:rRNA from 1 species